UCCAUGUUUUCAAGUCACUUGGGAUUUAUAUUUGACCUCGUUAGCCUAAUAACGACACGGAAUAUUGAAUAAAAAUUCAAGUGAAAGAUUUARCAGGAGAUAUAUAUAGCUAGAUGUGGCAAAAGCAACUUCUGAAUAUAGCUAGAAACGAUUUAUAGGAGGCAUUUGUGAUACUUAAAGGUUGUGUUGUGAUUAUCGCAAUGCAUAGUGCAAGAAACCCGCAUGGAUCUUUCAAAGUUUACAUUCGUAGAAGUUGCAAUCAGGGUCCAUACUUAGAUAGAAGAAAAGUGAAGAAUCUCUCGCGAUAUUUUCACUCCACGAGUGUCAAGAAAACUAUAUUGGAUUUAUUGAGUGCCAUAGUGAAAUGUAGCAAGGAUAGCAGUAAAGAUCAACUAGAGAAAAAAUUGUCACAAAUACAUCAUAGUAAUACUUUAGAUAGAUUUUCAAAAGGAAAGACAGCAAUAGUUAUCCUUAAACAAGAAAUACAAAGUUGUAAUAAUUUUAUCGGAAUCCGACCACCUAARAGGGAAUGCUGUAAAAAAUGUCGACUGAACA